AACGAACGCUGGCGGCGUGCCUAACACAUGCAAGUCGAAUGCGAAACGGGGCUUCGGUCCCUGAGUAGCAUGGCAGACGGGUGAGGAACACGUAUCUGACCUGACACGCGAUGGGGGAUAGUCCUGCGAAAGUGGGCAUAAUACCGCAUACGCUCAUCCCGGUAGAGGGGGAUGAGGAAAGUUGGCCUCUCCAUGGAAGCGAAUGUCGCGUGAGGGGGAUGCGUCCUAUUAGUUAGUUGGUGGGGUAAUGGCCUACCAAGACGACGAUGGGUAGCUGGUCUGAGAGGAUGAUCAGCCACACUGGGACUGAGACACGGCCCAGACUCCUACGGGAGGCAGCAGUGGGGAAUUUUGCGCAAUGGGCGCAAGCCUGACGCAGCAACGCCGCGUGUGUGAAGACGCCUUUCGGGGUGUAAAACACUGUCAGGGGGGACGAAUGGCCCGCCGGUGAAGAGCCGGCAGGCGUGACGGUACCUCCAGAGGAAGCCCCGGCU
rnacentral:rRNA from 1 species